ensembl:snoRNA
GUAUGAAAUGAUGGUAUGACUAUCUUUCGGGACUGACCUUUUGUGGAGAAGACCUUUUCAACUGAUCAUAC